AACUAAAGCCCUGCUUCGGAAAAGCGUCGGGAUUGCUACAUAAAGCACUUGGACGCUGAGAAAUGCCACAGCUGAAGUCGUGUCUGUGCUCACUCUGUAUUUUCAGUGGCACAGUGACACGCCAGACCUCCGUCUCUCACCUAGGGGUAUUCUUCUUUUCAGGCCCCCUGUGUUUUCCUGCCUGCGCUCCCCCUUUGACCAGGGAUGCAGUACCUCUGGCUGCUUAGCUACCCAGGCUCCCUGGUGGCAUUACUAUCUGUAUGAACACAUGGAUUUCUAAACCAUCACCUUCUGCUCUGUCCCUGAGGAGAUCUGGAACACCACUUUGCUGCAGCCUUGAAGCACAUGUUUUGUGUGGGACAUGAAAGCCCAGCCAUGGAGCUGGACACUUGGAUCCUGUGUGGAGUGUGUAAGUUAGGCAAAGUGGGUCUACCAGGUACUCAGCCUUCCUCCACUAAACAGGCACAGUCUGACUCCCCAGGGUCCAGCUAUGACAUCACAGAGCCUCCUUUUUCUUUCCUGUCUUUUGUGCCUUUCUCUGUGGCACGUCCUUGCAGUCCCAAGGAAAUAUCCCUCUGCAGUGAGAACUGCCCUGCCCCCAGCCAGGGAAACAAGUGUGGAAAAGCCAAUGGUCAUCAACCAGUCAGUCCCUAGUCCAGGAUGAGGGCCCAGAUUCCAGGCUGGGAAGGAAGCUGGCAGUGAGGAGCAUUUGGAUGGAUCCCACCAUAGGGAUCAGUUGUGAUACAAAGGACAUGGUCCAGGUCUGCAGGUCAGCAUCCAUAUUCUGUCUGUCCUUGGCCCAGCUCUCCUGGCAUGUUUGUGGGAAAGGGACCUUUGGGUUGGAGUCAUCUUCAUGCACACAGUUUGGGUCCAUUCCCUGCUAUCACUACACCAUGGAGAAAGGGAAAGAAUAGCCAUGCGUUACUGGAUCUCAUGACUGCGCCUAAAGAGGCCCAAAUCCAGGCUAUGCAAACAGCUUCCUGACUCCUGAGCAAUGGAAAUUUGAUCAUUUGUUCAAUGAACCUUUCCUACGUAACCUUCAACCCACACCUCACACCCUCAGAUAGGUUAGCAAGAUAUUUGAGAGCAACAGGAAACUGCUCUACUCUGUGACCUUGCUGGGAAGCUGAAUGAGCUGGGGCGACGUGUCUCCCAUGAGGGAGGAUGGUGGCCUGUGCCGACAGCAGUAGGUCCUGCCUGAAGCCUGGAGCACAAGCUCCAUACUGACUUCUACACAUCAAUAUCUGGCACCCAGUAAGUCCCUACUUGUGUCUCCAAGACAGCUUCUGCUUACCUCAUCAUACACUUGCAUUACCUGCAGCCCCUGUCUCCCUUCAGACAUUCAAUCUCUGUUCCAUGCUGGGAGCAGCAAGGAAAGACUGCUUCCAGAGGGGUGGGAAGCUAGGCAGCAAGGGCUUGAAGUCCACAGGGUGAAGUCCACAGGACCUGAGGAAGGUGAGCAGAGCAGAUCUGAUGACUGACAGAUGCACCAUUUGAGUAAGCCCUCAUUCCAGAGGGCUGAACCCCCAUGAGGGGCGAAUGUACUCAGGGUCCAACAGCUUACUCCACUCUGGUUUACUUUGUCUCAUCAGACUUUGUAGUAAAGAACGAAAAAAACUCAUAUGCCAAAUCAUGAAGCCAAGAUUCA
rnacentral:lncRNA from 1 species